rnacentral:rRNA from 1 species
AGAAUCAACGCUGGCGGCGUGCCUAACACAUGCAAGUCGAACGAGAAAGUGGUAGCAAUACCAUGAGUAAGUGGCGCACGGGUGAGUAACACGUGACUAACCUACCCUGGAGUGGGGGAUAACUGAGGGAAACCUUAGCUAAUACCGCAUAAUACCUACGGGUCAAAGGAGCAAUUCGCUUCAGGAGGGGGUCGCGGCCGAUUAGUUAGUUGGCGGGGUAAUGGCCCACCAAGACAGUGAUCGGUAUCCGGCCUGAGAGGGCGCACGGACACACUGGAACUGAAACACGGUCCAGACUCCUACGGGAGGCAGCAGUGGGGAAUUUUGCGCAAUGGGGGAAACCCUGACGCAGCAACGCCGCGUGGAGGAUGAAGUCCCUCGGGACGUAAACUCCUUUCGAUCGGGACGAUUAUGACGGUACCGGAAGAAGAAGCCCCGGCUAACUUCGCGCCAGCAGCCGC